rnacentral:rRNA from 1 species
AUGCGUGCUGCGGUUAAUGGAAUCCACCUUGAUGGGAGGAGUGAUCGUGUCUUUUGGGAACUCAAUUAGAAUGGCAAGUUCACCACUAAACCGGUGUAUAAGAUGUUGGAGGAGCCUCUUAGUGGAUGCCACUAUAGAUGGAUUUGGAAAGCCAAAAUCCCUCUUAAAAUCAAAAUCUUCCUAUGGCUGAUGUCGCAAAACGCAAUUCUCACUAGGCAAGUUAUGAGAAAAAAGAAAUGGCCGGGGAAUCCCUGUUGCUCUUUCUGCAAACAGGUUGAAACGGUACAACACCUGUUCUUCAAUUGUCCCGUGGCGAGAAUUGUCUGGCGAUCGAUUGGGGUUGCUCUUGGUAUUGAUAGAUGUCCGUCGAAUUACUGGCAAUACUUUGUGUGGUGCAAUAAAUUCCUUCCUGGGAAGCAAAAGUUUUACAUAGUAGGUCUAGCGGCUGUGUGUUGGGCCAUUUGGUUGGCACGCAACCGAGCUACCUUUGAAAAAAAAACAUAUCAAGACUCCUUUUGA